rnacentral:rRNA from 1 species
UUAAAUUGAAGAGUUUGAUCAUGGCUCAGAUUGAACGCUGGCGGCAGGCCUAACACAUGCAAGUCGAACGGUAACAGGAAACAGCUUGCUGUUUCGCUGACGAGUGGCGGACGGGUGAGUAAUGUCUGGGAAACUGCCUGAUGGAGGGGGAUAACUACUGGAAACGGUAGCUAAUACCGCAUAACGUCGCAAGACCAAAGAGGGGGACCUUCGGGCCUCUUGCCAUC